GUGGUUGAUAAAGUCAUUACGAAAAGAAGCGUGAUUUGUUAUUCUCUUGAUUUACCUUGUGUAAAAUCCUCGAAUUUGUCCAAAUCUGUUUUGGAGAAUAAGGUAACGAAAUUUUUCAAAUUUGUUUUCAAUUUAUAUUCGUGCCUUAAACAGUUUAUGUGGUUGUACAUGAAGUUUGAGUUCCAUUUGACAAAGGUUAACUCAACAACGGAGAUUCGACUACACUAUGCCCCCGAUGAGCGAAGGUUUGUUUUAAAUGAAAAAGGUAAAAUCGACCCUUAUUCUUCUGCUUAUUGAGGUAAGAUGCUUGAAACCUUUGAAACACUUUUGUACUCCUCGGAUAGUGAUAAAGAUCGUGUUGAUGAACACUUAGAUCGAAACGUGCUUGACUGUCCUAUUUUAUUUAUUCUAUCUGUUUUGAUGGUUGAUAAAAAGAUUCUUGUUUUUGAUAAUGCAUGUGUGAGGGAAUCUAUAGACCGUCGAUUAAUGCAUGGUAUGAUUAUGCAACUCUG
rnacentral:lncRNA from 1 species